UACGUAGGGGGCAAGCGUUGUCCGGAAUCAUUGGGCGUAAAGAGCGUGUAGGCGGCCCGGUAAGUCCGCUGUGAAAGUCGGGGGCUCAACCCUCGAAUGCCGGUGGAUACUGUCGGGCUAGAGUGCGGAAGAGGCGAGUGGAAUUCCUGGUGUAGCGGUGAAAUGCGCAGAUAUCAGGAGGAACACCGGUGGCGAAGGCGGGUCUCUGGGCCGAUACUGACGCUGGAGGAGCGAAAGCGUGGGGAGCGAACAGG
rnacentral:rRNA from 1 species